rnacentral:rRNA from 1 species
AUUGAACGCUGGCGGCAUGCCUAACACAUGCAAGUCGAACGGAAACACGACAAGGGAUGCUGACUAGUGGUGACGGGGUGAGUAAUAGUUCGGAAUGUAUCUAGUACUUGUGGAUCACUGCUCGCAACAGUAGCCAAUACCGCAUAAGAUCUAAUGAUUAAAACAGGGGACCUCAGGGGCUUGUGCUACUAUUGCGGCUGAUGGUAGAUUAGUUAGUUGUUGGGGUAAAGGCUUACCAAGCCAACGAUAUGUAGCUGGUCUGAGAGGACGAUCAGCCACACUGGAACUGAGACACGGUCCAGACUCCUACGGGAGGCAGCAGUGGGGAAUCUUGGACAAUGGGCGAAAGCCUGAUCCAGCAAUGCCGCGUGAGUGAUGAAGGCCUUCGGGUUGUAAAACGCUUUUGUUAGGAAAGAAAAGCAGGGGGCUAAUAUCCCCGGGUCAUGACGGUACCGAAAGAAUAAGCACCGGCUAACUACGUG